rnacentral:rRNA from 1 species
GACGAACGCUGGCGGCGUGCUUAACACAUGCAAGUCGAACGGAAAGGCCCUGCUUUUGUGGGGUGCUCGAGUGGCGAACGGGUGAGUAACACGUGAGUAACCUGCCCUUGACUUUGGGAUAACUUCAGGAAACUGGGGCUAAUACCGGAUAGGAGCUCCUGCUGCAUGGUGGGGGUUGGAAAGUUUCGGCGGUUGGGGAUGGACUCGCGGCUUAUCAGCUUGUUGGUGGGGUAGUGGCUUACCAAGGCUUUGACGGGUAGCCGGCCUGGGAGGGUGACCGGCCACAUGGGGACUGAGGUAGGGCCCAGACUCGUACGGGAGGCAGCAGUGGGGAAUAUUGCACAAUGGGCGGAAGCCUGAUGCAGCAACGCCGCGUGCGGGAUGACGGCCUUCGGGUUGUAAACCGCUUUCGCCUGUGACGAAGCGUGAGUGACGGUAAUGGGUAAAGAAGCACCGGCUAACUACGUG